UACGUAGGGGGCAAGCGUUGUCCGGAAUUAUUGGGCGUAAAGAGCGUGUAGGCGGUCCGGUAAGUCGGCUGUGAAAGUCCAGGGCUCAACCCUGGGAUGCCGGUCGAUACUGCCGGACUAGAGUUCGGAAGAGGCGAGUGGAAUUCCCGGUGUAGCGGUGAAGUGCGCAGAUAUCGGGAGGAACACCUAUGGCGAAGGCAGCUCGCUGGGACGUUACUGACGCUGAGACGCGAAAGCGUGGGGAGCAAACAGG
rnacentral:rRNA from 1 species